GAUAAAUCCUUUGCAGAUGACUUAAAUAGGGGAUGGGGUACUGUAAGUGGCAGAGUAGCCUUGCUGCUACGAUCCGCUGAGGUUCAUCCCUCUGUCCCACCGAUUU
rnacentral:rRNA from 1 species